AUCCAAUAUAUACGGAAGAAUAUACCGAAAGGAAAAGGAAAGUAAGUACUAGUUAGUAUUAGGAUUACUGAGUGAUGUUGAACUGGUAGAGGAGAUGACGACUUUUUAUCAUGUUCUCGUUGGGCUAAGGUGUGCUAAGAUUGGGCUAUAUAGAACAUAAAUUUGAAGAUGAAAUUGGGCAUCGUGAUGAGAUGUAACUUGGGAGAGACUGAGAACGGGCACUAAACAGACAAGCCAAUGACAAAUUGACAGCGGAAAUUUGAAAAAUACAAUUCGUCAGACAGAUCGUCAUACUCGUUACAGCCGGUAAUUCAGAUUACGUAGAUAGAUUCGUAAUCCGUCGAAAAUGGUAAAAAAAUGUUGGACGGGAAUGUAUAGAUCUGAGCAAAGAGAGAAAGAAACGUGGAGAUAAUAAAAAGCUCCAGCUUUGAAAAAAAAGAAAAAAAAAAGAAGAAAAGAAAAAGAGAAAAAGAGAUAGAGAGAUUAAAGCGAGAAUACCAGAACAAAGAGAAGAAAGAGAAAAGGAUAGAACAUGCACAGGAAGGAAAAGCUAAAGAAGUAGAAAUAGAUGAAAGUUCGGACAAGUAGAUCAAGUGUUCUACAGCAUAACAGGAAUAAAAGGAUCGAGCUCAUGCAACUGCUGAGCAUCGAAAAGAGACGGGUCGAAUAAGGAUGAAUCUAGAACAUUCAUCGACAUUUGCUCAACACUGUCAUGCCCACUGGGGAAUCCAUGACCGCAG
rnacentral:sRNA from 1 species